CCCUAGCCCAGAUAGAAGUGAAAAUCCUUUUGUGGCGGGGUUCGCCACAAAAGAUUGUAGCGGAUAGCUGGAAUAGCU
rnacentral:sRNA from 1 species